rnacentral:lncRNA from 1 species
GACAUUUGUAGGUUAACCAAAAAAACUGGAUCAACAAAAGUACUUCAUCAUUUCCUUCAACACAUGAUAUCUUUGUCACACAAUAAAUUAUUUAUUUGCAAUUUCUCAUUCGGUGUGCCAAUAAGUUUUUUUGUGCCAUCAAGAGUUGCAUCGGUGGCAAACAGUAACACGCACGUUGAGGGCAUGGUGGACGUCGAGUCCCCAGGUGAUGGAGGCCUGGCGGGUGUCGUUCCAAUCUACUAGAAGGUGCCCCGCACGUUGCGACGGGAACCUUGUUAAAAAUGUAUGGAUAAAUGGUAGAAGACUAAAAUUAAUGAAAAAACAAAUAUAAAAAUUUCUUACAUGACUUAAUUCCAUGGGAAAAAAUAAUGCACGACGUAGUAUGUUUUGCAUUAAGAGAUUAAUGAAAAAAGUAACUUAUGACUUCAUGCAUGACUUGAUGAUGUAGCAAUGUUGCAUGGAGAGGAAAAUUAGAUGGUGGGUUGUAGCUAUUUAAGAAAUGUAUGGAUAAAUGGUAGAAGACGAAAAUUAAUGCAAAAGAAAAUAUAAAACUUUCUUACAUGACUCAAUUCCAUGGGGAAAAAUAAUGCAUGAGGUGGUAUGUUUUGCAUUAAGAGAUUAAUGGAAAAAGUAACUUAUGACUUUAUGCAUGACUUGAUGAUGUGGCAUUGUUGCAUGGAGAGGAAAAUUAGCUAGUGGGUUGUAGUUAUUUAAGAAUAGAGGAUUCAGCUAUGGCCUAUUAGCUUAAUUAGUAAAGCAAUCGUUGAUUAUUCGUUCAUGGUGCUAGCGACAAACCCAAUAAUACAUAAAUAUAGGCCAUUUUGCAAAUCUGGUCUGGCUGAAAUCACAUCAUUCUCCCUGUUGUAAAUAAGUAACAUAUGAAAGUGACAAAGAAAAAAAAACAUUUGUGUAUUAGCCCAUAAUUAUUGAUGUAGAAAAAUGUGAUGCAUUGUUCAUAAUAUUGUUUUUUUCAAACAUUGUUCAUAAAUUCAAAAAAUGUUUUGGAUUUUCAAAAAAUGUUCUGGAUUUUUAAAAAACCUUCAAAUUUCAAAAAUGUUUUUGCUUCAAAUUCGAAAACAAAAGGAAAAAUAAAACAAAAAAUAACCAAAAAAUUAAAAAACAAAGGAAAUAAGAAGAAACAGGAAAAAAAAGAAAAAAAAC